rnacentral:rRNA from 1 species
GAUGAACGCUGGCGGCGUGCCUAAUACAUGCAAGUCGAGCGAAUGGAUUAAGAGCUUGCUCUUAUGAAGUUAGCGGCGGACGGGUGAGUAACACGUGGGUAACCUGCCCAUAAAACUGGGAUAACUCCGGGAAACCGGGGCUAAUACCGGAUAACAUUUUGAACCGCAUGGUUCGAAAUUGAAAGGCGGCUUCGGCUGUCACUUAUGGAUGGACCCGCGUCGCAUUAGCUAGUUGGUGAGGUAACGGCUCACCAAGGCAACGAUGCGUAGCCGGCCUGAGAUGCUGAUCGGCCACACCGGGACUGAGACACGGCCCAGACUUCUUCUGCAGGCAGCAUUAGGGAAUCUUCCGCAAUGGACGAAAGCCUGACGGAGCCACGCCGCGCGAGUGAUGAAGGCUUUCGGGUCGUAAAACUCUGUUGUUAGGGAAGAACAAGUGCUAGUUGAAUAAGCUGACACCUUGACGGUACCUAACCAGAAAGCCACGGCUAACUACGUGCCAGCCGCCGCGGUAA